rnacentral:rRNA from 1 species
GACGAACGCUGGCGGCGUGCUUAACACAUGCAAGUCGAGCGGUAAGGCCCUUUCGGGGGUACACGAGCGGCGAACGGGUGAGUAACACGUGGGUGACCUGCCCUUAGCUCUGGGAUAAGCCUGGGAAACUGGGUCUAAUACCGGAUAUGACUCCAUGACGCAUGUUGUGGGGUGGAAAGCCUUGUGCGGCUAGGGAUGGGCCUGCGGCCUAUCAGCUUGUUGGUGGGGUGAUGGCCUACCAAGGCGACGACGGGUAGCCGGCCUGAGAGGGCGACCGGCCACACUGGGACUGAGACACGGCCCAGACUCCUACGGGAGGCAGCAGUGGGGAAUCUUGCGCAAUGGGCGAAAGCCUGACGCAGCGACGCCGCGUGGGGAGUGACGGCCUCGG